AUGACAACACAAUGCAAAGAAGACGACAGGAAACUUCUGCUCUUUGUAUCACUGUGGUACACUUUCGGCAGCGGCACCAGACUGGAUGUUGGCAUUAACAGUCCCCCUAAAGUGAUCGUCCUGCCGCCGUCCAGUGAAGAGAUUUCCAGAAAGCAAGCAGCAACACUGAUGUGUGUGGCCAACAAGGGCUUCCCCUCAGACUGGAGUCUGAACUGGAAGGUGGACGGGAUCAGCAGCAGGUCUCAGUACAGCAGUGUUGCUCUCCUGGAGAAGGACGGUCUGUACAGCUGGAGCAGCAGUCUGACUCUCUCUGAGCAGGAGUGGAGCUCAGUGAUCUCAGUCAGCUGUGAGCUCACACAGAAAGACCAGCGUGAUAAAGUCACUGGAGAAUUGAGGAAAGAUCAGUGUUCACAGUAG